rnacentral:rRNA from 1 species
AGGAAAGCAGGGGAUCGCAAGACCUUGCGCUUUUGGAGCGGCCGAUGUCUGAUUAGCUAGUUGGUGAGGUAAAGGCUUACCAAGGCUUCGAUCAGUAGCUGGUCUGAGAGGACGACCAGCCACACUGGGACUGAGACACGGCCCAGACUCCUACGGGAGGCAGCAGUGGGGAAUUUUGGACAAUGGGGGCAACCCUGAUCCAGCCAUGCCGCGUGAGUGAAGAAGGCCUUCGGGUUGUAAAGCUCUUUCAGCCGGAACGAAAAGGUUACGGUUAAUACCCGUGACUAAUGACGGUACCGGAAGAAGAAGCACCGGCUAACUACGUGCCAGCAGCCGCGGUAAUACGUAGGGUGCGAGCGUUAAUCGGAAUUACUGGGCGUAAAGCGUGCGCAGGCGGUUUUGUAAGUCAGAUGUGAAAUCCCCGGGCUUAACCUGGGAACUGCGUUUGAAACUACAAGGCU